rnacentral:misc_RNA from 1 species
CGGGCGGCCGCCAGGGGGCUCCAGUGCUCUCUAACCCGUGUUGUUGUCCUUCCCUGCCACAGUAAACAAACACCAUUUUCACCCAUUUUAACCCAUUUGGCGGCUUUAAAACCCCGCCGCGAGCCUCCGAGACCCGCACUGGCGGUCAACACCGCCCCACCGACCACAAAUUAAGGGCGUAAGAUAAACCUGAAGCGAGGAAGAAUGGAUUAAUGCGUACGCGUGUGUGAGACGCCUCCUGGAGUGAGUGACAGUGAGUCAAAAGAUUAUCCCCCCCCCUCAGCGAGGCACUAAUUGUGACCCAUGGCCCUCCUGCUGCCACCCAUGGCCUCGCAGGCACCCAUGGCCCUCCUGCCACCCGCGGCCACCCGCCAGGCAUCGUGGUGUGCCCUGGCUGCCUGGCUGUGAAUGGCACUCCUCUCUACUGCCAGCCUUCGGUCCCCGGAGCGUCUUGAGGCUUCAUCCAGGCUCUGUAUCAUUGAUGAUAGAGAGAGCCAGCAUGGGUGCCACAAUGGCCAUUCACCUGAUACCACUUAUAUUCAUCUUUGCACCCCUCACACAGCCUACAGGGAGUCAAAUGAUAAGAGAAAUGACCAUAGUUGGUGAGAAUGAACCAGUUGCUGGAACAAAUGUCACCAUUAGCUGCAAGGGUCGGGGUGACUACCUACAGUGGCUUCAUGGCCACCAUAAUAUUACGCCAGAUGAUGAACGAUGGCAUGUGGAAACUGAGAGAAAAGAACAGAAUAUCCGCAGUCACCUGACCAUCAUCCGUGUUGGCUUGCAUGAUUCAGGGCACUACCACUGCCAUAUUAGCAAAUCCAACAAAGACAAAAUUAUUGACAAAAAUGUCACCAUUCAUGUACGGGCUGGACCUGUUUUAAUGGAGGCACGGAAUGCUACUGUGAGAGUCGGACACAAGGCCAAGCUUUCAUGUACUUUUGCUGCCGUCCCUGCCCCUGAGGUCCACUGGCUCAAGGAUAAGCUAAUGCUUGAUAAAGCAAAGGGGUUCAGUAUUGAGACUCGCCAGGAAUCAGAACUUCACCUGUCUGAUUUGUUUAUUGACAAUGUCACUCUCAAAGACAAUGGAACUUACAAAUGUAUAGCCUCAAAUGAGGUUGGUGCAGGCGACCAAGAGGGUGACCCGUAUCUCCUCGUCCAGGAUUUACCAGAAGUGAAUUUAACUAAGGUACGUGCUAUAGGCACAAGUGAGAUACAGUUAGAGUGGACCGUUCAUGACAACAACUCCCCAGUACAGCAGACAAAGAUCUAUAUUGCUACGGGUGAUAAUGACUUUGGUGAAUCUUCACUGCUUCCCGAGGAUCAAAAGAAUAUCAUAUUGGACGACGUUGGCUCGCCUGGUGAGGAAGUUCGUGUAAAGCUUGAAGUUACCAACGAAGUUGGAGUGAGUGAGAGUGAUCCUGAAACAGUCACCUUGCUUAGUGAAGAACCAAGAUUCAUUCCAGAAGCAUCUCCAAAGGGCAGUGGCCUCGACUCCUUUACUGUAGGUUGGAGCCAGCCGAGUGAAAAUAGCAAGGAAUUUGUUGGACGUUACCAUCUGUCUCUCAGUGAUCCAACGACAGGAGAUGUUCAAGAGUUGUUUGUGGCUUCUCCAGCUGUCGAUCAUUUAUUCACUGAUCUCAAGCCAUCCACAGAGUACAAAUUUAAGGUUGCCGCGUGUCUGAAUGUUUUCCCCGACCGAGAACGAGAUUGUGGGGAAUAUUCUCCUCCGGUAGUUGGAAGGACUCUGAAUGGAUUACCGGGAGUAAUUUCUGAUUUGUUGGUUGAGUGCAAGCAGAACCCACACAUGGCCAAUACUGUCCACAUUCAUUGGAAGCCUCCAACCAACCCAAAUAGUUUAGUUGACCAUUACAAAAUUGAACUGAAAGAAACUGCAUCGUUCAUUAAUGAGGAAGGACAGAGGCAGUACUACAAUAAUGAACAUAAGCAAAAUGUGGCUGCGUCUCUCAGAAACUACACCUUUUAUAAUGCCUUGCCCAACACAAAUUAUACGGUUAAGGUUUAUGCAGGCAUAAAACGCCAGUACAGCUCUCCCAUGAACGCAGUGUGCCGCAUGCCUGUUUGGGUGCCAGUUUCUGAGCGAGUAACUUGGUGGAAAUAUGUGCACGAAGGUCAGAUUGUACUCAAGCUUCCAGUUCCACGAGUGUCUGAACGUAACGGAACCAUUUGCUGUCACAGGGUUGUGGUGGUUAAGCUGGAAGGAGGUUCACCACUUCAGAAUCUGCCCGAGCCCAGUAAGCUGCCACUCAGUACGUACGAAGAGGUUCACCGCUCUCCUUCCUCCACCGGUGCUUAUGUUGCCGAGGCAUUCUCUGGGUGGAACAUAAAGGAUAAGUACCUACUCCUGGGCGAUGGAAAAGUUGUGGGUAACUGGUCUGGAGGCUGUUCUUCGUGCUUGGGGGAAAUAAACCCAGGAGGCGAAAUGGCAGCAUUUCGUGGCACUCCGGGACAGACUGCCGUCGUUCCCGCCACCCGAGGAAACAGGCGUUCUCUGCUGUCUCUUCAAGUUGCGCCACCUGUAGUAGAUGGUCUCCUAUCAAUGGAAUCCAAUUACACGGGCUUCAUAGUAAUGUCAGUACAAUCGGAGGAUGGAAAAUUGCUGACGGCAUUUAGUGAAUACUUCCCUGUGGUUCAGCCUAUUGAGGAUGUGGUGGACACGGGGCCCCCCACUCGUAUAUCCGAGAUGCAAAUUAUUUAUGUCGCUACGGGACUCUUCACAUUUCUCCUCCUGCUCAGUAUUGGACUGUGCACCCUUCUAUGUUUUUACCGAAGACGAAAUAAGCAUCUGGAAGAGGAAGAGGUUGCAGAGAGUCUGUCUGGUUCUCUUGGCCAUACGAGCCUGCCUUUGCUUUCUGUGGCCGGGGCAAGCACGGGCCCCAGAUCCGAGGCCGAUUAUGCUGUUGGUGGGGAGGAGCUACAGAAGAUGGUGGGGUCGCCACAUCCCUAUGGAACGCCGUACUCCAGCUGCAUAUUCCAAUUUAGAAGGAUCUUUCGUUCGCUGCGACGAUCUCACACGCUUAUGUCCCAGCCAGCAGUAGAUGUGAAACCAGUUCCUCGAGAUGAGCUUGUUCCACAAUAUAUCGAUAAACUCAAAGAUUCAGAACUUGGAUUCAGACGUGAAUACGAGGCACUCCCUGAGAAGUUUUAUGAUCGAACAAGCCGGGCCUCAGACCUCAUAGAAAAUGCUCCCAAGAAUCGCUAUCCGGAUAUCAAAGCUUACGACCAAACGAGAGUAAAGUUAACGCAACUGAAUGGAGCUGUUGGGUCAGAUUACAUCAACGCCAACUAUGUUUUGGGUUACAAGGAACGCAAGAAGUUUGUCUGUGCUCAGGGACCAAUGGACACAACAGUGGAUGACUUCUGGAGGAUGAUAGUUGAGCAAGGGUGCGGUGUGUGCGUUAUGCUCACAAACUUAGAAGAAACGGGCAAGAUAAAGUGUGUAAAGUAUUGGCCUGAAGCGGGCCAGCCCAAGACAUUCGGUAACAUCACUGUUUAUCUUGUCAAGGAAAAGGCAUACUCAGAUUUCAUGGUUCGGACUUUGAGAGCAGAAUGGGGUGAAGGGGAGGAUCAGCACACCCACGAAGUUCGUCAGUACCACUAUUUAUUGUGGAAAGACUUUGUUGCUCCUGAACACCCCACAGGUGUGCUCUCUUUCCUCCGCCGCAUCAACGAGGCAUAUUCUCACGACCAGGGACCACUCCUCAUACACUGCAGUGCUGGUGUCGGACGGACAGGAACCUUAGUUGCCCUUGAUUCUCUGGUGAUGGAGCUGGACGAAGAAGGCCAGGCAUCCAUCUUUAACCUUAUCUGUGACCUUCGACACCAAAGAAACUUCCUUGUACAGUCUUUAAAACAGUAUGUGUUCAUCCACCGAGCAUUAAUGGAAUAUGUUCAGUUUGGAAACACAGAGCUGAGCAUUCCUCAGCUUAAGGAAGCUUAUAGCAAUCAUACUCAUCAUGACAGUUUGGAUGACUCCUCCCCAUUGGAGAAAGAGUUUGAGCGUUUAAGCAAAGUGGUCGAGGACAGAAAAGCCUUCGCCAUUGCCACAAGUGAAGAAAAUAAGCCUAAGAAUCGCUAUGAUUUUGUUUUACCGUAUGACUCCAAUCGAGUUAUUCUGGCACCACUGUCUACCAGACCAUCUUCUACGUACAUUAAUGCCUCAUUUGUCACUGGAUAUGAUUUAGCAGAGUCAUUUAUUGUCACUCAAGAUCCCAUGGAAAACACCAUAGCAGACUUUUGGAGAAUGGUGUUCGACCAGGAAGUGACGACCAUCGUCAUGCUCUCAGAGCUUGGUAGUGGUGAGCAGUGCUGUAACAAGUAUUGGCCCGAUGAUGAGGAGACGUACGAGCACAUCUCGGUAAAGCUGGUGUCGAGCGAGAGCUACCCCAAGUACUCCAGCAGGUCCUUCUUGCUAACUAAUACUAAGAAUGGUGAUGCAUUAACAGUAACUCACUUCCAUUAUAUCGGAUGGUCAGGACUAUUAGGAGAGGUUCCCUUAGUAACUCAUGGAAUCAUGGAGAUUAUCACCAGGGUACAGUCUCACGUUGACGUCAGUUUGUCUACUGCAACUCCUACACUCGUCCACUGCUCUGGGGGUGGUGACCGCAGCAGUGUUUACGUGUGUCUCAACAACUGCCUACGUCAGCUACGACGAGAAGGUCGUGUAGAUGUGUUCCAGACUGCCAGAAGAAUAAGAGCUCUUAGACAAUUUCUUCUUCAGGAAUUUGCACAAUAUGAGUUCACCUACAAAGCUCUUGUGGAAUUCAUUGACAACAAAGGUUUGGAAAACCUUUGAGGAAUUAUCUGCACAUCAUUAAAGAUGUACAAAAUAUUGGAUGUUUGGAUAUGAGACCUUUGUGAUUGGAAUGAAAUUCAACUAGAGACUUUACGAGUUACAGAAAUCACAAAUAUCUUGAACAUUCUGAUACCAGUAUAAAUUGUACUCUCUCUGAACAAUAGUGCAAAGAUAUGUGCCCAGACACUUUUAAGUGGCUAAAUAAAAUUAUCUUCAUUUGUAGCAUUUAAAGAAAUUGGACUUGGCUACAAUGUGGUGAAUCUUAUUAAUGUAAUUCUUGUAGUGGAGAAACUGUAAAGAAUCUCCCAGCAAUUCUAUAAUGUCACAAAAUAAGUAGGUCAGCUGUGAUGGUCAGCCAUCGUACUACUACUUAAAUUCCUAAUAAAAAUAUUUGAAUAUUUAUAAGGUUACCUGAAGACUGUUGUACCCAAACGAACAUUAUAAUGCAAAGCAUUGCAUUAUUUGGUUGCAUGUAACUCCCGAAUGCAUUAAUAGACACACACAAGAACUUGGGUUUUAGAAAUUCAAGAAGAUUUAGUAUGUUUUAAAGAAUUCCAUCCCAAUGAAAUGUAAUUGUGACAUGUGCUGAUGCUGCUAAUGCUAACUGAGUGCUGUUUAGCCUUCAGGUUGUAUAUGCUUGGUUUGAAUGCUGUUACUUAUAGAUUCUAGUGACCAUUAAGGUCGUCUGUAAUGAUAGAGAUGACCGUUUGUGCUCAAAUGUUUUCCUGUAAUAUAUUUUCUCAAUUAAAUUAAUUUUUUUUUUACUUUUAAAUAUUAUUUUUCUUUAGUCAAAUAUUAUAUUCUUUACUUACUUUCAGUUAAGUUCAAAAUUUAUUUUGGCAGCUUUGUCAGAAGAAAGUGAAAUGUUAAAAAUUGUGAAUUUCUUGUCAUAUAUGACAGAGCUUCUGUCAUUCAUUUUAUACAUGUCAUGGCUUAGUUUACUAUUUGCUUAUUUAGAAGCUAGUGAAGCCAGUACUGCUUUUUCAUUUUUCCUGAUUGAAUUUAUAUUAACCCUUAAACUGCUAAGCUAAGUCCUGCAUUUAAGGUGCACAUGUUGAAAGGUAUUGAAAGGAUAUAUAUAAGGAUCAGUCACAUGUAAGGAUUUGCACACAGGAGGAACUCACAGAUAGCGACUAUAGCAGUGUAAGGGUUAAUGGUUGGUCGAGCAGACCACGUGGAAGUACUGUACACCCUGGGACCAUGCGAUUUCUACACUCUUGCAUUUAAUUAUGAUACUUAUUCCAUGUAUGGGAGCAAUUUAUUCUAACCAUAUCACUUCUUGGGGCAGAUUCCUACCUAAAAUUUUCAUUUGGUUUCUUUAAUUUGUUGUAUCAUAAUGAAUGAAGAUUUAAUUGCAUUAUAGUCAAAUCCCAGUAAUAUGUAUCGGUAAAAUACGUGUAUCAUUAAUACUGUACCUUGUGAAACAAAUGUUAGGAUCAUAUUUUGGCAAAUGCACAAACUGUAAAUUUUUGUAAAAAUUAGACAGGACAAACAAAUAAGGAAGCAAAAUUAAGGGAAAAGUGAAAGUAAUUUCAGGAUGUGAUAAUAUAUGUAUAAUACAUUACAUUUUAGCAGAAUAAUGCAGUAAUGUAUAUACAAUAUGGUAUUUUAAUAUUGUACUGUAUAUACCAACCUAAUAUGUGUGUGUGUGUGUGUGUGUGUGUGUGUGUGUGCAGUCUACGCACAACCAGGCUACCCUCGGUUGUUAACGCCUCUUAAAAAUGUGGCUUGUUGAUCUAUUUAACGUGAUUUAUGUACAGUUGUUUAACACUGACAUGAGGUAAACCCAACUUGGUGUUGCUAGUGUCAUAAGAAAAGAAACUCAAGAGAUAAUUCUGAGAUUAAUGUAGCUUUAUGCUAUCUACUCUUGGGGUUGAUAUGAUUAUGAUGAGCGAUAGUAGCACAAGAUGGGUUUAAGCUCAAGGGGGCGCACCACAUCUCAACACAUGCUUUGGUAGGAUGGUGACAGAGGUGACCAGAGGUCAGUAGUAAGCCCAGGCAUAAAGUAUGAUACUGUAUGUACUACAUUGUGCAGCACAUCACACUGUGCUAUACAGGCUGUUAUGGUGGAAUGUACUUUAUGAAUUAGUCACCUGAGUAGUUAAGCUGAACCUGAAGACAGAACAAUAAACAUUGCAUAUACCUAAAUGUGCAUGCAGUAUGGCUUUUAUAUCUUUUCAACUAUUAUUUUUGCCUACAUGCUAGCAGUCAUUCAUUGCUGUUCCUUUAAGUCUUAAAUCCUUCCAUAAAAUCCUUGGUAAAUCUGACUCCUUUGACAUUGCUCAUUUCACGUCUUUCUGCUUUUGUAUUGACAUCCUAAAUGAUACGUAGCAACUCCUGAAUUUUUUGUAAUACAGACUGUGCUAUACAGCUGACUGAACCUAGCGCUUUUGAUAAUUACUUGUCAUGUACAUGCAAGGGAUUUUGCUUGUGUCCUGAAGUGCUUGUCAGUUGAAUAAUUUUAAUAACCUUUAAUAAUUCUUCAAAAUGUCAUUGCAAGCAAGUAGCACUUUCAGUGUUAUGGAAGUAUACCUAUUUACUCUCUACAGUACCAGGAAUUUACAGCAGAGUAUUGGUAUUAUUUUAGUAGUGAGAUUUUAGUCGUGAGUGUUUUGUGAAUCGUUAGGGAAAGACAUCUUCUGGUCUUGAUGAUGAUCGUGAUGGGAAAAAAUGUAGAACUUGACUCAGAAUACGUUCUUUUAUCGGGUUCUGUUUCUCAUUAUGUAUUUGUAGUCCUCGCACUCCGUCAACAUGCUUUGAAAUGUUUAGUCUUAAUAUGUUCCAAUAACAGUUUCUGGUUUUUUUUCCUUGUCUAGCCCCAUGUUUUGAAAUGUUAAACAUUAAAGAUUUCCAAAUAAGUUGCAGCACUUGUAUAAUUUUGCUAUAAAUAAAAAUUCAUAGCCUAUGUAGAAAUUGAAAUGUGUUAAUUAGACGCAGUAUGUGAGUUUGGGUUGUUGGUUACAUUUACAUGCAGUUAGGAUUUUACAUGGAAGAUAUUCUUGUAAACAUUGAAAUUUUAUAAACACCAGCUUAAGAAAAUAACAAGUUUUAGUUUUAGCUAGCUUCAAUACUGAUAAUUCAGGAUAAGACUUUUUAUACAGCGUUGCUUAGUGUGUAAGAUAUAAAACUCAGAUGGAAAGCUAAAUUUAAUGUUUAAAUUUUCUGGUAAAAAUAUUUUUUAUUUCACAAGAAUAAUUCAGGUGCUAUUUUUAACAAGUCCAUUAUUUUUUUUUUUAUGAUAAAAAUAAGUGGUAUAGUUCAUCACAGAUGUUAGGCACGAGCUGUACAAAGUUCAGAUUCCACACUGCAAAAUUACAUGAUGUACGUUAGUGUGUGUGUUUCAAUUUUUUUUUUUUUUUUUAAUUCAUGGCCAAUUGAAAUGUAAAAAUGUGGUGAAACCUAUAAUGCUCUUAUGAGAGGAUUACACAUUUUAGCUGUAAAAUGUCACAAAAGCCAAAUGCAGUAUGCGUAGUUGAAGUGUAAAUAAGAAUUGACAAGCCGGAAAUGGUAGUGGAGAUGAUGUCCGAGAAGCCCGGUGUGUCGGGAGAAGGUAGUGCAGGUGAUGGCUAAUAAGCCACAGGUGUGUCAUGGGACAUUAGGGAAAGUGAUGUCCGGCAAGUAAGAGGUGUGUUGAGGGGUCAGUAGUGCAGGUGAUGACUGGCAAGCCACAGGUGUGUCACAGGACAUUAGUGCAGGUGAUGACUGGCAAGCUAUAGGUGUGUCUCGGGACAUUAGGGAAAGUGAUGUCUGGCAAGUGAGAAGUGUGUUGAGGAAUCAGAAGUGCAGGUGAUGACUGGCAAGCCAUAGGUGUGUCACAGGACAUUAGGGAAAGUGAUGUCCGGCAAGUGAAAAGUGUGUUGAGGAGUCAGAAGUGCAGGUGAUGACUGGCGAGCAAAACCUGUUCAUGGCUUGGUAUUUUUCUAAACAUAUUAGAACAAAUAAACUGACCUGCCUAUUAACUAUUUUGCUUACAUUUUAAGCUAUCUUGCUUUUCAAGCAUUAGGAAAUUUUUUAGUAGUUCUCUUAAAGCUUGUACACUUUGGAGAAUGAUGAGAGAGAAAACUCUUCUAUAGCCAAAGAUAAUGUUUAGGAUAGGGCAGUCAGCAAUUUGUUAAGGGUAAUGCAGCCAGCAAUUUGUUUAGGAUAAGGUAGCCAAUGAUAUGUUUAGGGUAAGGCAGCCGGCUAUAAAUUAAGCAUAAGGCCACCAGCGAUUUGUUUAAGGUAAGGCAGUCAUUGGAUAUGUUUAGGGUAAGGCAGCAGAGGGAAAUGUCUUUGGAUAGGGCAACAAUACAUGUAUAAAGGGUGCAGCAGCCAGGGAUAUAUUAAGGAAAGGGCAAACAGGUAUGUAUUAAGGGUAAGGCAGCAAGGGGUGUAUUAAGGGUAGGGCAGCAAGGGGUGUAUUAAGGGUAGGGCAGCAAGGGGGUGUAUUAAAGGUAAGACAGCAAGGGGUGUAUUAAAGGUAGGGCAGCAUGGGGCAUAUUAAGGGUAGGGCAGCAAGGGGUGUAUUAACAGUAAGGCAUCAAGGGGGUGUAUUAAGGGUAGGGCAGCACGGAUGUAAAAUUGAGUGAGCACCUUUAUCUCCUUGGUUCAUGUUCCAACGGAUUAUCAUAUAUUAAUUUAUAUUUUUGUUAAUCAUUAUUUUGAUAUAUGUCCUUUGAUGAUAUUCUAAAAGCAUUUAAAGUUUGAAACAAUAUGCAUCAACAUUUCACAAUGAACAUAGUACAUACUAUUUCAAUAACUGUUUUCAGAACUCCAUUUUAUGUGGAUUGUCAUUCUAGAUGAUAUUUCCAAGCCAGUGACCUGGCCUGGGAGUCAUCAACUUAGGAAACCUGUACAUUUUUUCAAUAAUUAUGGCAGAUUUGUUUACGUGUAUUAAGCCGUUUAUGACUUCCAAAGUGCUGUGAGGUUAAGAACAUAAGAAUGAAGGUAACUGCAGAGGCCUAUUGGCCCUACAAAGCAUCUCCUAUUGGCCCUAACAAAGCAUCUCCUAUUGGUCCAUACAAAGCAUCUCCUAUUGGCUCAAACGAGGCAACUCCUAUUGGCUCAUACGAGGCAGCUCCUAUUGGCCCAUACGAGGCAGUUCUAAUUGACCCAUAUGAGGCAGCUCCUAAUGGCCUAUAUGAGGCAGCUUCUAUUAGCCCAUACGAUGCAGCUCCUAUUGGCCCAUAAGAGGCAGCAGCUAUUUAUAUCCACCCAAUCUCAUUCAUAUAUAUAUAUAUAUGUCUAACCUGCUCUUGAAGCAGCCAAGGGAUCCUAUUUCUAUUAUGUUAAGCGGUAAUUGGUUCCACAGAUCAACAACCCUGUUACCGAACCAGUAUUUACCCAGGUCUUUCCUAAAUCUAAACUUAUCCAAAUUAUACCCAAUGUUUUGUGCUCUAUUAGGUUGUUUAUAAUAAUAAUAACCUUGCGUUGUGAAGUUUCCAAGCCCAUAAAUUAAAUGUCACUAAAGUCAACAUGAUUGUUGAAAGAUGAACAGGUUUCCUAAGUGGAUGUGUAAAUGCUUGACGAAUUGUGUACCAGGUUAGAUACAUAUACAUAAUUACCAUAUGAUAAGUUGUAUGUUAUUUCAUUUAUAUUUUGAGUGAGGAGGAGUUUAAUUUAUAUGGUUUUAACCCUUGGAGUAUUUUAACACAAUAAAGUAUGUUUGAUAUCUUCUGAAGCAGCUUGAGUUUGUUUCUUAUGCUUGGCUUGGCACCAGUGUGUUACGAGUAUUCGUUUGAUGCUAAAAUUGUUUUUCAUAAUAUUUGGUGGGAGAGUAUCACCCCCCAAUGUCUUUUCAAGGGCAUAUGUAUUAUACUUUGAUCUGGUACCCAUAUGCCGUAGUAAGAUGCAUCGUGUUGUUUCUCAGGACGGGCAUAAACUGGUUCUCAGGAGGGACAUAAACUAUUAUUUAAGAGGACGACUGCAAAGGUGCAGUCUGUUUUAUUCUGAUGCAAACCAAUGUUCAUAAAUUUCACCCAAAAAUUAUGCUAAUGGAAAUUUUGAUCAUGAGUCCUUCAUUUGGUUUUAAAUUCAUAUGUAUUCCUUAUCAUUUUGUAAUAUAUUGUAUUGUUAGGUAAAAUUAAAUGUUGGUAAAAGUUUUGGAAGCAGUAUUUGUUUAUUUUAAUGAAGGGUAUAACAUGAUUGCUUUGGCUUAGUGCUUUCUCCAGAUAAUUACCUUGCCUCCUCACUUUUGAAAUGCAUUUAGUUUGGAAAUUAUGCAUUGUGAUGUAUCAUUUUGGAAUGAUAAUUUGUGUGGUGUUCAUCUCUGAAGACUGGUCAUCGUCCUUAAAUAUAUGAACGAUUCCUCAGUAUUUUUUUUUCUCUCCCAGGGAUUUUUCCUGUCCAGACUCUAGGCCUCUGGCUGGCCUGCUAGGUGGAGUCCUCAGUUAAUAUGCUUAUGUGUUUGAUUUUGUGUAUUAUAAAAAAUAUUUUUUUUUGUAAUUUGUUGCCUCCUCAUAACAGUUUUAGAAGUAAUUUUUUAAUGGAGGUAUUUCAAGAAUAUUUUAUAUGCCUGACUCAACUUUUUCAGAUCUGAAAUGCUUAUAUUUUUGUACUCUGUAGUGGCAUUUCUUUUUUUUAUUUGCAAUUUUGGAAGCUAAUUAUAAUUUAUAUUUAGUAGGUUGAGGGGGAAUUACACUGUAUCUGAAGUAUAGUUAAAGAGUUUGUGAGACAGUUUUCGUAAAAUUUGAAUACAAUAAACAUUACUAUAUCGUACUGUGUACCAGAUUGUGCUCGGAGUUUUCCUGCAUCUCUUUUUUUUUUCUAUUGUUCUGUUAGAUAUACAAAUUCUUUGGUAACGUGACUAUUGUUUUGAAAUAAAUUAUUGUAUGGUGUCCGACUGUGACAUGUUUGGGCUCUCUAUUGUGUAUCUUGUUUUUGAGAGAUGAUGAAACUUUUGUUUCCUGGCUGUCCAUUGACAUUGUAGUUAGUGUUUACCAGACCACACACCAGAAGAUGAAGAAACGAAGGACCGAAACGUCAUCGUUUCUUCAUCUUCUGGUGUUUGGUAUGGUCAUCAUAUCAUCAACCACAUUAAUGUCACUCAUCGUCUGUAUUGUAGUUAGUGUUUACCUUAAGCUUUGAAACACACAUGUCUCUAUUAGUGAUGCUUUUCUUUGCUGCCAAUAUUUGAACUAUUACAGUACAGUACAGAAUAUGUUUCUUAAAAUUGUUUUAACACUAACCUUAAAUGUUUAAACAUGUGCGUUUAGGGAUGCAUGACUUGUAGUAUGUUUUAAUGUUGAUUGCUCAUAGUAACAGUUAUUACAAAUUAGUUUUCAGAGGAGGGAGUGUUUGUGAGAAAAUAAUAGUCAUACAAUGGGUUCGAACCUGCAUCCCCGAACUCCUAAGGGAUCUAUUGUAUGGAUUGCAAUAUUUUUUCAAAGCUAGAUCAUGUUUGUGUGAUUCCAUUGUGCUGGGAAUGUAUGUGUUUGAAAAUAUUUCAGUAAUGCCUAAACAGGUUUGCUUGAAAUUUCACCAACACACACACACACCUUGCCACUGUUUACUAUGUAUUUUUUGGGGGUGGGGGGGGAUGGUUUUGUUGCUGGUAUUGGCUUCAUGAUCUUUACAUAGAGCUGCCUUAUUUACAAUUAAUGAAGUAAUACUAUUGUUUUUAAUACAAGAAUCACUUUGAAAUGUAAA